AUCAUAUUGUUAAUUUAUGGAAUUAAAAUGACAUGAAAAUUACCUAAUAUUCUAACAGACCAAACUUGAAAUAAUUCAAAUUACCAUGCAAAGCAAACCCAACAAAAAUUUCACAACCUGACAAACAAAUUGCACAGACACACAAGCAUUUUACUAUUCGGCACUAUAGGCUUGAAACCAGUAUAAUAUACCAGGAACAUGCAUAGACACAAACUGAACUGUCUAGCACCAACAUUACAAGAUUGUGUCAUGUAAAGUCACACAUUCAGCCCUACUACUAUUCUGUGUGCAAACACUUGUAGAAUAAAAAGAUAGUUUCUACUGAUGAUGUUAAUGAGACACCAAAGUAUAUUUGCAGAUUAUGGUCUCUCAAAACUUAACUAGAUGGCCUUCUUUAUGUUGUCACGCUGAGCUACAUGUGAUUCUCAAACUCAGGUGUAGUCGUUGUCUAAUAUUUAUACCUGGCCUUUCCAGCAGUCUUGACCUUGGAAAGCCUCCUCCUACAAUGACAAAUCAAGAGCAACCAGUUACUCCAAGGUUACAAAUUAUAUAUGAAUGAAGGGGGUGUUUAGAAUUACCAAAAAAAAUAUUUGCUUGCUACUACUGCAAUGGAGAAGGACAAUCAAUAGGUAGUUGGCAAAUUAAAUCUUGUACAUAGAUACACACAAGCACAAAAGAUAAAAAGACGCUACAUGAUCAUAAUCUCUACUAGCUUUCAAGAGAGUUCGACAUCCAUCUAUGUACUCAAUGUUAGCAAGCUGCACAAUUUGUCAGUUAUUGAAAUGUAAUUUAGAAAAGUAUGUCUGAAGAUGGACAGUAGGUGAAUUCUGAUUUGUAGGAAGACAAAGAUUUUAUAUUUUUCUUUUGUUUUGUGUUGUGCCUACUGAUUUGUAACACAGAGAACACUUGAGGGUUCAAAUAGAGCACCAGUGCACAGGCAUGCAGCUAGGUACUGCUAUUGCUAUCACACCAUAAGAGUGGCAGCAACAUAUGAAAAUAUUUUUAUAAGUACAGGUAAGCUCCACCAAAUAAAGAUGCACCAUUGUUCUAAAAAAAUAAAAAAAAUAAAUAAAUAUGUGCCACUGGUGUGACUAUCCUUCUUUUAGACAUAUGAUCAGGCAAACUGAGUUUGUCAAUGCAGGCCUUAUAACAACAAAUAUGGCCCAGAAAUGCAUCUCUACAAUCCAAAUGUUCUCAUCUCUAAGGGUUGCACAGAAGCAUUUCUUCUUUCAGAUUUGCAAUGACUAAAUAUCUAGUUUCCAGCAGUUAAGUAGACUCACAUGUUAGACCAUCGUAUUUUUGAGCCGAAUCAAAGUUGAUUCUUGAUCUAGUUCAUAGCCAAUUAGGAAGGCCUCUCUAUUCUCUUUGCUUUUUGUUGGUAUUUCUAAUGUCAUUGCAAUAAAACUGAAUCUCUAUCCCACGCAAUGAUACUAGAAAUGUUGAUACUAAUUAACUUGUCUUUAGCAACUAGCCACUAGCCUCUUGACCCUUACUCCUAACUGUGAAACUAGGUUGUCACCCCCAAUUGUAAAGGUAGGAGUAAACUUUGGUACUAAAUCUUAUCAUUUUAUGUGACUAGGCAAAAAUAAAUAAAGAUGAAUAUAAAUUAAAAAUAAUUCCGUAAACGGACAGAUAAUUAUACCAUUGUAGCAUUUUACCUAGAGUAUUACCAGGUUGUCAUUUAUAUUCUACCACUGGGAAGGCAUUGCUAAGAAGCUACUCAUAGUAUUGAUAACAUGUAUAUGUAUAUGCAUUGAAUAGAUGAUGUAACCAAUGUCAUUCACUCUACUCAUAACAGGGGUAAGUCACAAGAUAAAUAAUAUGGUAAAGAUAAUAAUAACUAUAAUGAUAAUGAGCCAUUAAUCAGUCAUCUCCUAAUGAUACUAAUCCAUCAUAGCACUCUAAUCAUUUCAGCGUUGUCUAAUCAGGUAAUAGAGAAAUAACUCCUAUGUAUUUAACUACGUGUCAAAGCUACAUCAACUAGUGUAAGUACAUCUAGUAAUCAUUGUCAAGUUAUACUACCAUAGUUCCCAAACACAUCAGAGCAAUGUACAGGAAAAGAUGAGUACAGGAAUCUCCUCUCAACCUAAUAAUCCCACUCUACCAAUCCACCGUAUGGGGGAAGGCCUAUAAAGGACUCGAUGGGUCUGUCACACCCAUGAUCUACCUUACUACCCAACACAACUGGGGAUAUCCGCAGAUAAGCAAAAUAUCUAGACACCAUGUCUACAUAUUGCCCACCACUCACCAUACGACCAACUAGAUGAGCGCUAUACGAACC
rnacentral:lncRNA from 1 species